UCCGAGUAACUGCGAGCUGGAGGCGCGGCUGCUCUCUCGGGCGGACCUCAGCUCUGCGAACCCUGUGGCUGCCGGAGCACUGAGCGCCCUGCCCGGAGUCCCGCGGAGCCUGGCGAGGAGGGGUCGCUGCAUCCCGAGGGCCAGCCCUGAGCCGGGAGGCUAUACAAGAAGAAGCAUGGCACCAGCAUCUGCUUCUGGUGAGCAGCUCAGGCUGCUUCCAUUCCUGGUGGAAGGGAAAGGGGAGCUGACUUGUGCAGAGAUCACUUCCAAGAGGGAAAUCAAGAGAGAGAGGUCAAACGGUGUAAACUUUGCUGGAAGGAACCUUACUCAGAGGGCCAAUCACCUGCUUCUCUAGAGUUCUCAAGCUCUCCUGUGAGCACCAGGUUGAGCUGCAGAAAGCCAGAACCAGCUCAGAAACUGAGAAAUGGACAUGAAGAUGCCCAGGUCUGCAGAUGGUUUCCAUUCUGAAAAGUGAUAGUCCCAAGGGGGACUGGCAUGCAGUCAUUCAUUCAACAAUUGUGCUCCUACUCUGUGAAGUAUUGGGGAUACAGUGCUGAGCACAGACAGACCUAGUCUCUGUCCUUUGCACCUUUCAGUGAAGGAUAGGAGGUAGACAUUGAUGCAACAAGCACCCGAGUAAAUGUAAGACCAUGCAGUGAUAAAGGCCGUGGAGGAAGGGCCCAUGCAGGGGCAGAAAACAGAGGAAGGGGCUGGUGGAGCAGCUCCUCUAGCUCAAGGCUGAGUGGUAUAAACUGUAGCUACUGCAUGAUCUGAACGUGUCUUAAGGAGGGUAUCCCCAAAGCGGGCUCAUUGGGAGUUACUGUGGAGCGCUAGUUUAUUGUAAUUGCCAUAUGUUUAUAAGUAAUGGAAUCCUAGAAUUAGAAGGAACUUCGGUCACCUUUUAAUUUAAUAUUUAUCUUUCUCAAUCCAGGAAACAUCUCUACAGCAUCCCUAACUGGGGGUUGAUCCAUUCAUUUCCAGACACAGAGAACAGAGUCACAUUCUGCUGUUUCCAUAUGUACCAUUUUAGUAAGACUUCUUGGGGCACAAGGCAGGAAGUUGGGGACAAUAUAUUUGUCUGCACCAAGGCAGCCUGAGAAGAGAGAAGUGAAUACUCCUGGGGUUAUUCUAUAUUAUUCACUUAAUAUUCUAAGUGAGUCCUCUAGGGGUACCUGAGACAUGGAGUAUGAAAGUACACAUUCACAAAAGUACCAGCUUUAAAACUAGAUUAUCUCUACUAUUCAAAAACACCAAGGAAAGGCCACACAAUGGAGACAAAGUGCAUCUGAGAUCUAGCAAAUUUCCCUGUUGGCCACAUACUGAUAAUGAUGUAUUAAAAUCAAUUCUAUACUGUGGGGUACUUAUUUGACAUUAAUAGGUACCAUGGUGGUUUAACAUAGUUGCUGCCCAGAGAAAACGCCGCACACUCACCUACACUAAAAUGAAGUCUGAGUCAGCUGCCUCCCCUCCGCCAUCCCUUCCAAAGCCAAUGGUUGAAAGUCACAGAAGUCCCUCUGCUGCCACCUAGUGACGACAAUGUGAAUACAACUACACAGCCUCCUGGGAAAGAAGUUUUGAACCACGUUUGCUUCUAAAGGAAGCCUGUAAUUACCUCUGAGUGCUCUAUUUUGGCUACAAUUUAAAAACAUAUAUAUUUUAAAACUCUAUAAACUCUUAUGCAUAUCCCUUUUUAAGAAUCUGACCUGUAAUGGAUGUAGCCUCACUUUCAAGAACCUAAAAGCUAUGCCCCCAAUUCAGGGAGUAGAACAGACAGGCUUAAGAACAGUGCCUAAAAAUGCCACUAAAUUUAUCUUUAAAAUGCCUGUGGUUCCUUAGCACUUGAAUUCCGUUAUGCCCCUGGGUAUAGUCACCUGGAUGUUAGGGGCUGUCAAAAUUCAGCCCUCAGUUGGUGAUCAGUAGGUUUUCCCUUUAAGUGGUUUCUGAAAGGAUUUUUUUUAAAAAUCUUGAAAUUCUCAUGUCUGGAUGAUGUUUCCAGUUUUGUGGAAGAAUAAAAGAAAAGGGACAUGAAAUUCUGGCUCCCUGGGGGCAGUGGCUGUGUCUUAUUAAUCUCUGUGCCCAUUGUACCAACACCGGUCAGUCACAGCAUGUACUCAACCAAUGCUGAUGAAUGCAGAGGGGCGAGGGGCUGGCACGCUCUUGACCCCUUAUAGGGGCUGCGUCGAUGGCCAGGGUUCAAUGGGAACUUUCUGGUACAGUCUUGCUCUGCCAAUCUUUCAAAUUAAGUGCAGCACAAUUGGAAGCCUCACAUUCUCAUAGACGGGUUGAGGAGGGCAUUAGGGGCAGAAAGGCUCACAUAAGGCCUGAGCGUGAGGUUUCCUGCCCAGCACUGCUGUGCCAUUGCAGCCCACCUUCUUCUCACCUUUCCUUCCACACCACGGCGCGGCAGGUGCAGAAACCGUGCUGGGAUUGAGGCCCUAGAGGCUGACUACAGGUCUUGGGGGCAAAACAUCUGGACACACAGCUGAAGAUGAGCCAAGUAUAUUAGUCAGGGUUCUCUAGAGAAACAGAACCAACAAGAUAGAGAGAUGCAGAGAGACAGAGGGACAGACAGACAGAUUUAAGUAACUGACCCAUAAAAUCUUGGAGGCUUGGCAAGUCCAAAAUCUGCAAGAUGGAAGUGGGCUGGCACAUUGGAGACUCAAGGAAGAGUUGCACGUUGAGUUCAAAGGCCGGCUGCUGGCAGAAUUCCUUUCUGCUCAGGUGAAGUCGGUCUCUGUUCUAUUAAGACCUUCAACUGAUUGGAUGAGGUCCACCCAUAUUAUGAAGGGUCAUUUGCUUUACUCAACAUCUACUCAUCUAAAUAUUAAUCUCAUUGAAAAAAAACCCCAGAAACAUCCAGAAUAGCAUUUGACCAAAUGUUUGGACAAUGCAGCCUAGCCACAUUAACACACAAAAUUAACUGUCACAGCAAGACACCAGGGAAGCAUUGGAAGAUGUUAGCGGCUGUCAUUGAAAUGGGUGCCGUCAGGUGGACGGCAGCCAUCCAUCGGGCAAGAGCGGGGCAGCUGGAAGGGCCCUCCCCUCCCGUUUGCUUUCUGCUCUUCACAGCUCACGGAUAGAGGAAUUUUCUCAGCACAUUUCCCAGGAGGAGUUUGGCACCACCAUUUCUUGAAAACAGAUGUCUGCAGGGAUGUGUGUGUGCCUGUGAAUAUGAAGUCCAGAGCCUGGGACUGAGAACAGCAAGGGGAACAGGUGGCCACAGGGGAGUUGCCAGAUUGCUGACUUAAGAUGUGCUCCCAGGGCUGCACUGGUGUCGGUCGUGAGAGCGAUCACGGUUUGUGCAACGUCUGAACUUUCUAUCAACUUAUGGUUUAAUCAAUUUGCUGUUUACUCCAGCUAUUUGCAACCUCUCCUCAGUUACUUGGUGUUCAGCAGUGUAAUAUAUCUUCAUGUGUGAAUAUAAAUAUACUAUUUAGUGGAAACUAAAAGGAAUUGUGGAGGAAGAAUUUUUUUGGAUAAUUUUAUGUUUUCAUAAUGUAAAAAUUAAAGAUAUUUGAAGAGUUGAGUAUGUCAGUUUUGGGGAUGCAAGAGAAUGACUUCGGGACUACCAUAAUAUUUAAAAUCAUCACUACUCUUUCUUUCCACCUAAGUCUCAUAGCAAAAGAGGAAAUUUACUUCAGUCUCUUUCUGUAGCAGAACAUUAUCGUGCUGUAUUCCUGUGUUCACUUAUCUGCGCUGGAUUGUGAGUCCUUACAGAGAGAAAUUGUUAUGUGCUAUGUUCCCAACACCUGCACAUUAUAGGUGGUCACUAAGUGCUUGAUGAAUAAAUGAAUGAGGGAAUAAUAUUGUUUAUUAUUUUUUGCUGUUAUUUAUAAUUGGGAGUGGGUAGGAUUUGGAUUAUGAAGACUCUGGGAAGCCUCAUAAGAACCUCAGACUCACUGGGCACGGUGGCUCACACCUGUAAUCCCAGCACUUUGGGAGGCCGAGGCAGGCGGAUCACGAGGUCGGGAGAUCGAGACCAUCCUGGCUAACACGGUGAAACCCGGUCUCCACUAAAAAUACAAAAAACUAGCCAGGUGUGGUGGCGGGCGCCUGUAGUCCCAGCUACUCCAGAGGCUGAGGCAGGAGAAUGGCCGUGAACCCAGGAGGCGGAGGUUGCAAUGAGCCGAGAUCGCACCACUGCACUCCAGCCUGGGCGACAGAGCAAGACUCCAUCUCAAAAAGAAAAACCUCAGACCAGACUCAACGUGUCCAAAAAAGAGCUCACCUUGUACCCCUAGAUCCUGAAGCGGCUUCCAGUAGCUCAACCUCCUCCCAUCCAGUUCCAUCUCUGCCAGGGAUCUUUUAAAAAUGCAAAUCUCAUUAUGUCUCUUUCCUGCCUCAAACCUCCCAGUGGUUCUCCAGUCUGUCAGGAGAGGGUAUAGACUGUGGCCUGGCCCGGGAAGUUCUUUGAGGUCAACCCCUGCCUACUCAUCUUGCUAACUCUUAUGGCUCUCUGACACUAGGCUUUUGCUCCAAUCAUAUAAGCAACUGUAUUUCCAUAAAAUUGCAAUGUUCUUCCCUACCUCCUCACUUAACUAAUUUUCACUUUACUGAUCAUUUCUUAUUUUACUAUCAGCGUCUCUUUCUCCUUAUUCUUCAGGGAACAUUUCUCUCCACCAUCCUGUGCCACACUGUGGGGGUGUCAGUAACACCCUCUGUCCUCUCCUGGCCAAAGGAAAGGGGUGUCAUUCAGCCCAGGCCCCUGGAUCCUCAUCUUGGGAUUUGGAAAUGUGACCGAAGUGACAUAAAAAAAAGACAUGAAGUGCGAGGAGCUCAUUCAGUCAGCUCUGCAGCUCCAGCUGGGUUACCUGUGAGUCCUUGCUAGCCAGAUCCCUUGAUUUGCCGUGACUCCUGCCUUUGCCAAGUCUGUCUUCAUAGAUUCUUUCAAAUGUGGUUCCAUCUUGCCUGAGUUCGUCAGAGCCAGAUUCUGUGCUGUAAUAAAAAACCCCAAAUCAACUCACCUCUCACCCUCCACAAUGCAGCUUCUGGAAGAUUCCAGAUGCCCCAGCCUGACUGAGAAUUCUCUCUCCUCUGCUCUCAAAGUCCCUUUGGGUGCUUCUACCAAAGCACUGACAGCGUGAUUCUGAUUUGAUCGCUGGUGUCUGAGAGCUGUGAACGUCUUGAUGGUUUUGGCGCCCAGCACCAUUCCUGCCUCAUAAUUGGCACGUGAUAAAGGCUUGUCGCAUUCCCUCAUUCAAAAUAAACAUAGAAGACAAUCCAGAGAUUGCAGCUUCACAGAAAUCACAGAAGGAAAUUUAUAUUUAUAGAGACGGCAUAUAAAAUUUUAAAACAAUUUUAAUGAAAAUCUUGAAAAUAGACAUUCUCUUCUUUAAACAACAUAAACUGAACAAACUCAGUCUGUUUUGGUGCCUCUGUGAGUACCCUCGGUUGCUCUGGGCUGCUGUGCGAUGCUGACCGGGACUUCCUCAGAGGCCUCAUCUUCUGCAUCCAGUGGACUUGCAAGCCACUUUACACUUCCUGGGUGAUAAGGUUUGGAUUUGUGUCCCCGCCCAAAUCUCACGUGGAAUGUCAUUCCUAAUGUUGGAAGAGGGGCCUGGUGGGAGGUGAUUGGAUCAUGGGGGCAGAAUUCCCUCUUGCAGUUCUCUUGGUAGUGAGUUCUCACAAGAUCUGGUUGUUUAAAAGUAUGUAGCACCUCCUGCUUUCGCUGUCUUCCUCCUGCUCCCGCCAUGUAAGACGUGGCCUCCUUUCCCUUCGCCUUCCGCCAUGAUUGAAAGUCUUCAGAGGCCUCCCCAGCCAUGCUUCAUGUACAGCCUGUGGAACUGUGAGCCAAUUAAACCUCUUUUCUUCAUAAAUCACCCAGGCUCGGGCACUGGAUUACGUCUUAGAAAUGCCAAGAUGCAC
rnacentral:lncRNA from 10 species